rnacentral:rRNA from 1 species
AACGAACGCUGGCGGCGUGCUUAACACAUGCAAGUCGAACGCGAAAGGGACUUCGGUCCUGAGUAAAGUGGCGCACGGGUGAGUAACGCGUGGAUAAUCUACCCAAUGAUCUGGGAUAACAUCUCGAAAGGGGUGCUAAUACCGGAUAAGACCACGGGAUCUCUGGAUUCUGCGGUAAAAGGUGGGGACCUUCGGGCCUUGCGCUAUCAGAUGAGCCUAGGUCGGAUUAGCUAGUUGGUGAGGUAAUGGCUCACCAAGGCGACGAUCCGUAACUGGUCUGAGAGGAUGAUCAGUCACACUGGAACUGAGACACGGUCCAGACUCCUACGGGAGGCAG